rnacentral:rRNA from 1 species
GAACUGGUGAGUAACACGUGGGAAACCUGCCCAGAAGCGGGGGAUAACACCUGGAAACAGAUGCUAAUACCGCAAACAACUUGGACCGCAGGUCCGAGUUUGAAAGAUGGCUUCGGCUAUCACUUUUGGAUGGUCCCGCGGCGUAUUAGCUAGAUGGUGGGGUAACGGCUCACCAUGGCAAUGAUACGUAGCCGACCUGAGAGGGUAAUCGGCCACAUUGGGACUGAGACACGGCCCAAACUCCUACGGGAGGCAGCAGUAGGGAAUCUUCCACAAUGGACGAAAGUCUGAUGGAGCAACGCCGCGUGAGUGAAGAAGGGUUUCGGCUCGUAAAACUCUGUUGUUAAAGAAGAACAUAUCUGAGAGUAACUGUUCAGGUAUUGACGGUAUUUAACCAGAAAGCCACGGCUAACUACGUGCCAGCAGCCGCGGUAAUACGUAGGUGGCAAGCGUUGUCCGGAUUUAUUGGGCGUAAAGCGAGCGCAGGCGGUUUUUUAAGUCUGAUGUGAAAGCCUUCGGCUCAACCGAAGAAGUGCAUCGGAAACUGGGAAACUUGAGUGCAGAAGAGGACAGUGGAACUCCAGGUGUAGCGGUGAAAUGCGUAGAUAUAUGGAAGAACACCAGUGGCGAAGGCGGCUGUCUGGUCUGUAACUGACGCUGAGGCUCGAAAGUAUGGGUAGCAAACAGGAUUAGAUACCCUGGUAGUCCAUACCGUAAACGAUGAAUGCUAGGUGGUUGGAAGGGUUUCCGCCCUUCAGUGCUGCAGCUAACGCAUUAAGCAUUCCGCCCGGGGGAGUACGGCCGCAAGGCUGAAACUCAAAGGAAUUGACG